UACAGAGGUCUCAAGCGUUGUUCGGAUUCAUUGGGCGUAAAGGGUGCGUAGGCGGCGCGGUAAGUCGGGUGUGAAAUCUUGGAGCUUAACUCCGAAACUGCAUUCGAUACUGCCGUGCUUGAGGACUGGAGAGGAGACGUGGAAAUUUACGGUGUAGCGGUGAAAUGCGUAGAUAUCGUAAGGAAGACCAGUGGCGAAGGCGGGUCUCUGGACGAGU
rnacentral:rRNA from 1 species